UACGUAGGGGGCAAGCGUUGUCCGGAUUUAUUGGGCGCAAAGAGCGUGUAGGCGGCCAUACAGGUCCGUUGUGAAAACUGGAGGCUCAACCUCCAGACGUCGACGGAAACCGUAUGGCUAGAGUCAGGAAGAGGAGAGUGGAAUUCCUGGUGUAGCGGUGAAAUGCGCAGAUAUCAGGAAGAACACCAAUGGCGAAGGCAGCUCUCUGGGACGGUACUGACGCUGAGACGCGAAAGCGUGGGGAGCGAACAGG
rnacentral:rRNA from 1 species